AGGUCGCUAGCUCAAUUGGUAGAGUUUCGGACUCCAAAUCCGACGGUUAGAGGUUCGAGACCUCUGCGGCCUG
rnacentral:tRNA from 1 species